AUGAGCCUCAGACAACGUUAAUGCACCUGGAGGACAUGGGUCUCAAAAGCCCAAGUGCAGCAUAAAGAAAAUGCCCAUUCGUUUGAGUCUGAGAGCCUCACGAGGCCUCUACAGGUGUACGGAGUAUAUUAUUCAAGCUUUCUCAGACAACUGCUGGAAUUUUCCCAACACUGAGACACAUCUGCUAGUAACUGGAGAUACUAACUUGUAACAAUCCUGUGUCAAACAAGAGGCCUUCUAUCAAGUGCAGUGGACAAGAGAGACAUUUUAUGUGCACAGUUUAGUCUCCCAAAAAGAUCAGCCCUCCUACUGUAUGUCUUGACUGGAACUUUUUAGAAGCAAAUAACUUUAAGAGAGCACGGGUAUGGUCUCAAGAGGGGAAUUAGUGUCCCUUCCUUUCAUAAAGGUACAGGUGACAGCUGUAUGUCCCCUAAAAGGACAAAAUAUUCUUGUUAACUCCCUGGGCUCACAGAAAGUUAAAUGUAAAUAAUAACUCUCCUUCUUGUGCUGUAUGUUACAGGCAGGAUGAGGAAGAGAAGUAGCUCUAAUUCAAUGGUCCUGUGUCUGUUUUGAUCUGGAAAGGAAAAACUGUCUUUUAAUUAAAAGAAAAAAAAAUCUGUCAGGCCCAAAGUGAUGCACCUUUUGUUUUAAUUGGGCAGACCAGGAAUCUAUUCCUGGCAUACCAUGUUGAUGCAGCACUCAUUAACCCCUGACA